CACUCCAGCCUGGUGACAGAGUGAGACUCUGUCUUACACACACACAAAAAAUCUGGAUUUCCAUUUUCUCUUGAAAACUGUAAUAAUCUAAUAACACAGGUCCUGCAUUCCCGCAUGACAACUGGCUAGAGCUGAGUGGUGACUUCCUCCAGACAUUUUCCACUUUUUAUCUUGUCCAUUUAUUGAGGUAACCUGCCUGGUGGUCCUCCACAAACAUCUCAGUUUACAAUCCUUGCACCAUUCUAUGCUUUAAUACAACAGUGUAUUAUUAUUUAUUUAAGUACUAACACAAUUUAUAUGUAUAAAUAUGAACAGGAUUUUUUUUUUCAAUGACUAACACAGUUUUCCUAGGACUUCAGCUGAGACCAUGAAACAUAGAAGUGGAGAAAAGAAGGAAUGCAUUACUGAAGGAAAAUCAUCGAUAAAUACUGAAGCUGGGAAUGAGCUCAGUAUCUUUUGGCAACAGGAUUAGUUAAGGAGAAAACCCGAACCUGGCGCCCGGAAGUGAUGUCAUCGACACCGUGCAAGGUCCCUUCCAGAGCUAGCUGCUGUUUCACUGGAGAGCCGCACGCUUAGUGAAGAAAAGCUUAAAGGCCGUCUUUGCUCGAAACGCUCUCUGUGCGCGCCCGCAUUUCCCCCCAGAUUUGCAGGUGAUGAGAGUUCUGUAAAAUUACACAGCUAGUGACUGAUCCAGCGGAGACCGAAUACAGGUUUGUCUGACUACACAACAUCAAGUUCCAAACACUAAGCUACAUUAAAAAGUAAUUUUUUUUUUUU